CAUGGAAGAAGGAUCUGGAAAGAAGGGUGGGAUCUCAGCCUGAUGGCAGGUCUUACCCAAGAGGGAAUUUUUUUCUCAGGAGAGUGAAGAAAGCCUGGCUUUCCUCAUCAGCUCUCUUUGUGUUGAAUUCAUCAGUCAUGACAAUCAUUUGAGAAAUCUUAGAAAAUCAUCCCAAACCUGGAAAAAGUCAGUUACAUUAGGAAAGGAGUGAGCAUAAAGAGUAUUUACAGCCUCUGCUGUUGCUCUGCUUCUAUCUGGUGGAUUAAGGAAAGUCACAACUCACAGCCCUAGUGGAAAGUUACAACUGGGAUUUGAGCUAAUGAAGAGUUGAAGACUCAACAACAGGCACUUGGCUUCACUAUUAACCUGGACAAAGCCAUUAACUCGCCUGUACUUAAUUGGCUUGUUCUGUGACACACUGUUGCCCCAGAAACACCCAUAGGGGUGUACCCCACAUGAAAGAAGCCUGCUCUAUGAAAACC
rnacentral:lncRNA from 1 species